rnacentral:rRNA from 1 species
AGUGAACGCUGGCGGUAGGCCUAACACAUGCCAGUCGAACGGCAGCACAGUAAGAGCUUGCUCUUACGGGUGGCGAGUGGCGGACGUGUGAGGAAUACAUCGGAAUCUACUUUUUCGUGGGGGAUAACGUAGGGAAACUUACGCUAAUACCGCAUACGACCUACGGGUGAAAGCAGGGGAUCUUCGGACCUUGCGCGAUUGAAUGAGCCGAUGGCGGAUUGGCUAGUUGGCGGGGGAAAGGCCCACCAAGGCGACGAUCCGGAGCUGGUCUGCGAGGAUGGUUAGCCACACUGGAACUGAGACACGGUCCAGACUCCUAGGGGAGGCAGCAGUGGGGAAUAUUGGGCAAUGGGCGCAAGCCUGAUCCAGCCAUACCGAGUGGGUGAAGAAGGCCUUCGGGUUGUAAAGCCCUUUUGUUGGGAAAGAAAAGCAGCAGGUUAAUACCCCGCUGUUCUGACGGUACCCAAAGAAUAAGCACCGGCUAACUUCGUG